rnacentral:rRNA from 1 species
GUUUAUGGCCAUGCCACCUUGAGCAAGCCAAUGUCUGAUCUCAGAAACUAAGCAGGGUCGGGCCUGGUUAGUACUUGGAUGGGAGACCACCUAGGAAGACCAGGUGCAGUGGGCA